GGUACCUGCAGAAGAAGCCCCGGCUAACUACGUGCCAGCAGCCGCGGUAAUACGUAGGGGGCAAGCGUUAUCCGGAUUCAUUGGGCGUAAAGCGCUCGUAGGCGGUCUGUUAGGUCGGGAGUUAAAUCCGGGGGCUCAACCCCCGCUCGCUCCCGAUACCGGCAGACUUGAGUUUGGUAGGGGAAGGUGGAAUUCCUAGUGUAGCGGUGGAAUGCGCAGAUAUUAGGAAGAACACCAGUGGCGAAGGCGGCCUUCUGGGCCAUAACUGACGCUGAGGAGCGAAAGCUAGGGGAGCAAACAGGAUUAGAUACCCUGGUAGUCCUAGCCGUAAACGAUGGACACUAGGUGUGGGGGAAUUAUUCUUCCGUGCCGCAGCUAACGCAUUAAGUGUCCCGCCUGGGGAGUACGGCCGCAAGGCUAAAACUCAAAGGAAUUGACGGGGGCCCGCACAAGCAGCGGAGCAUGUGGUUUAAUUCGAAGCAACGCGAAGAACCUUACCAGGGCUUGACAUUUAGGUGAAGCGGCGGAAACGUCGUGGCCGAAAGGAGCCUAAACAGGUGGUGCAUGGCUGUCGUCAGCUCGUGUCGUGAGAUAUUAGGUUAAGUCCUGCAACGAGCGCAACCCUCGUCGUAUGUUGCCAGCGGUUAGGCCGGGCACCCAUACGAGACCGCCGGCGUCAAGCCGGAGGAAGGUGGGGACGACGUCAAGUCAUCAUGCCCCUUAUGUCCUGGGCUACACACGUGCUACAAUGGCCGGCACAAUGGGCUGCCAACCCGCGAGGGUGAGCGAAUCCCUAAAGCCGGUCCCAGUUCGGAUUGGAGGCUGCAACCCGCCUCCAUGAAGUCGGAGUUGCUAGUAAUCGCGGAUCAGCACGCCGCGGUGAAUGCGUUCCCGGGCCUUGUACUCACCGCCCGUCA
rnacentral:rRNA from 1 species